rnacentral:lncRNA from 1 species
GGUGCUCUUUUGACACAGGCGCUUAGGUUCUUGGAAGAUCACCUGCCGUUAUGUGGCUGCCUCUUUGAACUGCUUUGGCUCAUGGGAUGGAAGUAGCUGGAUUUGUCAACUCUGUGAGUUUCCAAAUUCUAGGGCUCUCUUCCAAAUUCUCUCUUAGCUUUAGGCAAAGGGAGGAAAGACCACCUGUUUUAGAAGAACUGAGUUCUCUUCUGUCUCUCCUGGAAGGUUUGCUAGGUGGGUCUCUCUUCUAAGGCUUUGCUGAAAUGAAGCAGGAAGCAAACUACACUCUAAUAUUCUGAAAUUUCCUAGCAUUAUUUGGCAUGUGCCUAUCUCCUAAGGCACAGCAGAUCAUAAUUUGACCAAACGGUCACCAUCACAUAAUAGUUGCUGUCAGCUUUCCCAUUGGUAGCGUCUUUAUCCUGGUGCCAGCCACCUGACUGCCUCCCUGCUCCGUGGAACCAGUACUCUGUUUUACAUUUUGUCAUUGCAGCAAAUGAGUGUGUUCUCUAGUGUAAGCCGUAUGUGUAAGCUACCUAAAACUAAAUGCACUCUAGUUAGUUUAAGAUGAAUGGGAUUUAUUAAGGAUAUGCAUAUCUUGGAAUUCAUAGGAAGGAUUGAAGAAAUGUGCUUUAGGUUGAGCUCAUAAGAAAGACUUCAGAUUAUACUGGAGAGCUGGCCGCUGGGGAAUCGCUGCUUUGUCAGCAUCGGGAAACUCAGAACGAAGAAUCUUCCGGCACAGCUGCAGGCCAUGGGCCCUGCAACCCCCGGUGCCCCACAUCCUGCCUCCCCUGAAUUCCAAACCAGAGUCUGUCAGAGGCCAGGUAAUUGGUGCAACAGAGAUCAUAUCCAGAAGCCCAUCCCAAUGGGAUGAAGAAAUUUAGUUUUUAGAUGGCUGGCCUCUUUGUCUUUCUUAGUAGAAAGCAGUUCCUUCCACUAUAUCCUGCACUUAUUUGAAUUUGAGAAGAGCAUCUGGAAAAUGAUAAUUUUUAUUAAAAUACCUGCAAAUGUAUUCAUAUUUAUACACAUCUCAUUUCUGCAAAGGCAUCAUUUCAUACCUCCCCUUAUGGACAUUCCUUUACAUACAAAUAUAUGUAUAAUAGAGAUGAGACUGGUAGGUUUAAUCUCAUUAUUUCAGCACAAGUUAUCAGUGAGGGCAAGUAUAGGAAGUAGGAUUUCAGCUUGUAGAAUAUUAAAAAAAAACAGCUUGAGGAAUAUUUAAAUUAUGGAAGUAUGUAGUUUCAAAAUAUGCAUUUUAGACUCUUCUAGAAGUGAAAAUCGGCUAAAUCAUUAGAUAGCUGUCCCUGUAGUUACACUAAAGUGUAUACGGAGUCUGGUGAAGAUUAGAGACAAUCAGAGGCUGACUCACUCUCUAGUUAUUGAUUUAAUGAAAAUGACUUAAGUACUUUGUUAUUAUUUCUCCAUCUCUCACCUGAACAAUGACCCUGAACACAAGCGAGAUAAUACUUUUCAAGCGCUUUUAGCGUCUCAGUUGAAUUGUGCUACGUAUAUUGAACCAGAAGUGACAAGAUGUAAAUUUCUUUGAGUUGAAAUAUGAGGAAGGGGCAGCCCUGGUGGCUCAGCGGUUUAGCGCUGCCUGCAGCCCAGGGUGUGAUCCUGGAGACCCUGGAUCGAGUCCCACAUCGGGUUCCCUGCAUGGAGCCUGCUUCUCCCUCUGCCUGUGUCUCUGCCUCUCUCUCUCCUCUCUGUGCAUUCUCAUGAAUAAAUAAAUAAAAUCUUUUUUUUUUUUAAAAAAAAGAAAUAUGAAGAAGAAGCUGGCAAAGCACUGACUCACUCCCUGUAACAAGCAGAGGCUUCCAGUCUAGCUACUUGCCCGAUGAAUAACUUUUGCCUGGCUUUGGAAUGUAAGUUUAAGUGCAUGAAGUGCAAGCUAUAGGGUGGGGGUAGGGGAAUGACAGUGAACAAGAAUGCUCAUACACUGGAAUAAACAACCUUCCAAAACCCCAUGAAUGACAGUGAUUAUUAGGUUCCUUUAAGUGUCCGGAGAAAUUCGCUAUUAAUCCCGAUGUGGCUGUUUUGGCCAGUCGAGGGGAUCGUUGCACAUUAGACAUGCUCUCGUCUCUGUGAGGUCUCACAGUGUGUCUGAUAGUAUUAUUUCUUUCUUUUUAAAUAUUUUUUAAAAAACAUUUUAUUGAUUUGAGAGAGCAAGAGCUUGGCCACAGGCACCCACAGGCUUGCCAGCAGGAGGAGGACCAGAGGAGUAGGGAGAGGGCCAAGCAGGCUCUACCCUGAGCACGGAACCCUUUAGGGGCUCCCUCUCAGGACCCUGAGAUCAUGACCCGAGCCCAAAUAAAGAGCCUGUUGCUUAAUCUACUGAUGAAGCACCCAAGUGCCCCUCUUUUUAAACAUUUUAAUUCCGGUAUAAUUAAAUACAGUCUUAAUAUUCCUUUCAGGCGUACAAUAUAGUGAUGCAACAAUUCUAUAUAUUAGUGUUCAUCGUGGUACGUAUACUGUCAAUCCCCUUCACCUAGUUCUCCCAUCCCCCCCACCUCUUCUCUGGUAAAUCAGUUUGUUUUCUGUGGUUACAAAUCUGUAUUUUGGUUUGUCUCUUUUGGUCUUUGUUCCUUUGUUUUGUUUCUUGCUUUACACAUUUGAGUGAAACCACACGGCGUUUGCAUUUCUCUGUUUCACUUAUUUCACUUUAGCAUGAUACUCUUUAGAGCCAUUUGUGGUGUUGCAGAUGACAAGAUUUUACUCCUUUUUAUGGCUGAGCAAUACACACAAACACACACACAUACACACAGCACAUCUUCCUUAUCCAUGCUUCUACUGACGGACACUUGGGCUGCUUCCAUAACUUGGCUGUUGUUAAUAAUCCUGCAGUAAACAUAGGGGUGCGUGUGCAUGUGUCUUUUUGAAUUAGUAUUUUUCUAUUCUUUGUGUGAAUACCUAGUAGUGGAGUUACUGGAUUUUAAGGUGGUUCUAUUUUUGAUUUUUUGAGGAGCCUCCAUGCUUCCAUCAGCUUGCAUUUCCACUAAC